rnacentral:tRNA from 1 species
AAUGAAUUGCCUGAUAAAAGGCUUAUCUUGAUAGGAUAAAUUAUGUAGAAUCUACAUUCAUUA